UACGUAGGGGGCUAGCGUUGUCCGGAUUUAUUGGGCGUAAAGAGCGUGUAGGCGGCCAGGUAGGUCUGCUGUGAAAACUCGAGGCUCAACCUCGAGACGUCGGCGGAAACCAUCUGGCUAGAGUCCGGAAGAGGAGAGUGGAAUUCCUGGUGUAGCGGUGAAAUGCGUAGAUAUCAAGAGGAACACCUGAGGUGAAGACGGGUUGCUGGGCUGACACUGACGCUGAGGCGCGAAAGCUAGGGGAGCAAACGGG
rnacentral:rRNA from 1 species